rnacentral:rRNA from 1 species
GACGUAGGGCGCGAGCGUUGUCCGGAUUUAUUGGGCGUAAAGAGCUCGUAGGCGGCUUGUUACGUCGUUCGUGAAAACUUGGGGCUCAACCCCAAGCUUGCGGUCGAUACGGGCAGGCUAGAGUUCGGUAGGGGGAGACUGGAAUUCCUGGUGUAGCGGUGAAAUGCGCAGAUAUCAGGAGGAACACCGGUGGCGAAGGCGGGUCUCUGGGCCGAUACUGACGCUGAGGAGCGAAAGCGUGGGGAGCGAACAGG